AAUUUUUUAAACAAAGAGCUGGCCGUGUGCAUGUGUAAUGGUGGCAAGGGCAGCCAUGUUGGAGAGAAAACAAACCACAUGGGUCAUCCAAAAUAGGCCCAUGCGCUACAUGAAGGAAGCCACACAACUAGGGCAUGUUUGGAGCAAAUGAAAUUAUGUUUUUAUGUUGUUUUGGCCGGGAUUUUUUGGAGGUUAGCAAGAGGGCAGCACACAGAUGGGAGUUUUGAAGCAUCUUUGUGUAAUCACACGGAUUAGAAUCAUCUUCUCUACUCUUCUCUCCUCCUUUCCUCUCCUUUCUCAUAUUCUUUGUUCUCGUGUUCUUCAUUUUGGGGCUUAUUUUGAUGGCAAUUGUUGGAGGUUUGCACAGCUGCAGAUUGAAGAUUUUGCAGUAACCGAACCUAGGGAGGAACCCCUCCAUUCGGCCAGAGCCCUAGAUAGGAGAGCAGAUAAAGCUCCACAAAGAUAGUUACAGUCGAUCUACCCUUUCUAAAGGGUAAGUAUUUGCUAGGGUCAGACAGAUUUUUGGGCAGAGAUCCUAGGACUAUUUUGGAUACUUUUGAGAUGUGUAUAUCUAUAUGAUGGUUGUACUAAACUCUGGUAUUGUGUUGAAUGGUACUUUGGG